GUAGGUUUUGAUGUUGGGGUAGUGGUAGGUUUAGUUGUUGAAGUAGUUGUAGUAGAUGUUGGGGUAGUAGUAGGUUUUGAUGUUGGGGUAGUUGUAGUGGGUGUUGUUGGGGUAGUGGUAGGUUUAGAUGUUGAAGUAGAUGUAGUGUUUGGUUGGGUAGUGGCAGGUUUAGUUGUUGAAGUAUUUGCAGUUGUUGUUGGGUUAGUAGUAGGUUUUGUUGUUGUAGUAGAUGUUGUUGAGGUAGUUGUAGGUUUUGAUGUUGGGGUAGUGGUAGGAGCUGUUGGGGUAGUGGUAGGUUUAGUUGUUGAAGUAGCUGUAGUUGUUGUUUGGAUAGUGAUAGGUUUUGAUGUUGGGGUAGUGGUAGUAGAUGUUGUUGAGGUGGUGGUAGGAGUUGUUUUUGGGGUAGUGGUAGGA